rnacentral:tRNA from 1 species
GCGUCGGUGAUUCAGUGGUAGAAUACUCGCCUGCCACGCGGGUGGCCCGGGUUCGAUUCUCGGCCGACGCA